rnacentral:lncRNA from 1 species
AUACAAUGCAGGUCAGAGACCUAAAUCAUCCUCCCUGUUCAUGAGGUCCAUUUGUAAAUUUACAAAUGGAUUUCAUUGAAUUACCAAAGGUAAUGCAGUACCGGUAUGUGCUAGUAAUAUUAGAUACAUUCUCAGGUUUGGUUGAGGCUUAUCCUUGUUGCCAUGCGGAUAUUGUCUACAGUGUCUAAGAAAUUGUUACAAGAAUUUAUACCCAGGUAUGGAUUGCCUCGGCACAUUUACUCAGAUCAGGGAACACAUUUUAUAGGAAAAGUAGUGCAACAGAUAGCAAAAAUUUUGCAAAUCCCUUAUCAUUUACAUUGCUCUCAUCAUCCUCAGUCAGAAGGAGCAGUAGAAAGGGCCAAUGGAACAUUGAAAAACAAAAUUGCAAAAAUUGCAGCAGAGAAAGUUAAAGUGGCUUAAUGCACUUCCUCUUGCCUUAAUGUCUAUGAGAUUCUUUCUAGUUUGAAAGCAGGGUUAUCCCCUCAUGAAAUUCUAAUUGGAAGACCAAUGUUCACAGGAGGGGUACCUAUAAAAUGUUAUUCUCAUGAGAUAAAUGAUGAUUUAGUAAUGACAUAUUGCAUGUAGCUAACAAAACGAUUAGUCUCUCUAUAUGCAGGUAAAAGCUGUACAGCGAACAAGUGAAUACCAACCUUUGCAUGCCAUCGCUCCUGGAGAUUAUGUUAUGAUAAAAGACCAUUCACGAAAGCACGCGUUGCAACCAAGGUGGAAAGGACCUUGUCAAGUGUUAUUAACCACUAAUUCAGCUGUUAAAGUCGCAGGGGUUAAAUCUUGGAUCCACAUUUCCCAUUGUAAACUAACAAGCGCUGGAAAAGAUUUUUUUCACUGGAAGAAGAAUAGAGGACUAAGGAAGCUGUUUUCCCUUCUAAAAAGGGGUACUUUUUAAGGGGAGUAUCUUUCUAGUACAAAGUCAACUCUACUGUUUUUCUUCAUGAAUCUCAAACUGGUUAAAAUUAUAUUGUCCUUAAUGAUUGUCAUUAUGACAUUUUUUUAAUUUUUCAUCCUCAUUUUUUCUUUAAUACACGUGUAGUUUGAGAACCCAAGUGAUUUUUCUUCUUGGGAGAUAGAUAAUCAUUUCGUUAAAACAGCUACUGAAUUGUAUAAAUUGUCAAACAAAAGUAAUCAUUGUUGGGUUUGUGGGUUUGCUCCGCAUUCCAUGAACUAUGGUUAUCCUUUUGUGGGGGUGCCAUGGUCUAUGGAAUCUCUUUGUGAGAAAAUAAGAGCAAAUAAAACGGGGUUUGUUGGAUUUAUUCAGAAUGAAGUAUCCAAAUCUGGGGAACCUGCUAAGGUUCAUUUAACAUAUCCUAUUACUAGCAGAGCAGUAGUAAUUUCUAACAGGGAUCAGAAAAGUCCUGACAAGAUUGUUAAGCCUAUAAGCAAUGCUAUUGUUAUUUUUGAAAACAAUGUCCUUUAUAAUCUAUGUGGGUCUGAAACUAAUUCUGCCCUUUGUACUGGUAGAUUGAAAGCUUUUUGUUGGAAACCCUUAUUAGAAGAUAUUUUAACAAAAUGUCCCAUCAAGGAUAGAAUCCAGGUGAUUACUGAUCAUGUAUGGGUAAAUUUGACUUCUGAGGUAGAAAUCAUGGAUAAUAAUUAUGAUCAGAAUGAACAUUUAAAUGUCACUAUUUUGAGAUGGGCCUACUUUAAUACUCAAACUUCCAAUCUUUUUAUGCUACUGCCCUAUAUUAAUCAACCUAUUUUUGACUGCUCAGAUUCUCGUGUUAUUGAUAUUCAUCUUCCAUUUGGGGUAUACUAUUUAUGUGGUAGUUGGGCGGUAAAAAGACUUCCAUGUAAUUGGGUGGAAACUUGUUAUCUAGGUAAUAUUAUCCCAGCGUUAACCCUUCAUGAAAAUUUGCCUGAAGGAAGGGUGAGGAAUAAAAGAAAGGUUAUUAGUUCCAAAAAAGAUAAAACCGAAAGAACUGUAAAAUCUGGUGAAGGAGAUAGGCUAUUUGCAGGUUUUGUACCUACAUGGGGGGUUAUUGAAUUAAUGUAUAAAUUAAACUUGUUAGCAGAUAUACUAGAUGAAGCCUUUAAUAAUACAGGAGAUGCUAUUGAAAAAUUGUCUGCCGAACAGGAACAAGCUUCAGCUAUGAUUAUGCAAAAUAGGUUUGCCCUAGAUUAUUUGUUGGCCUCCGAAGGUGGUGUUUGUGCACUGAUAAAAACAAGAUGUUGUUUAAAGAUAGAUAAUGUUACUGGUCAGAUUCAUACAGAUGUAGAUAAAUUGCAUGAAGUACAAAUUAAACUUAGAGAAGUUCACGAUACUUCUUCGGGAGGUUUAAAUUGGGGUUUUGACUGGAGUUUUGGUUCAACUAAUUGGUUGGGAACAAUGGGAAAACGUAUUCUCAUUGGAGUUAUUUUAGUAGUAUUGAUGCUUGUGUUUAUAUAUGUUGCAGUGAAUGUCCUAAAGUGUUCAUGCCGAUUAAUCCUCAAGAGCUGUUCACCUUCAUCUCCCCCUGGCACAAUUUCGAAUGUUGAAAUGUCUCCUAUCCGGUCACAACUCAUACCGACUUGGAAUACAGACAUGCUUUCUCGUGAAGAUAUUGAUCGUGUGCGCAUCUAUUUGGAAAGUCCUGCAAGUGCUGUUUAAAAUCACUAGCUCACUGAAUGACCUUCGCUAAACAUGGAAGUGUUGCACGGAGCUUUUUGUGGUGAAAGUCCUAGCACCAAAGGGAGGACUGUGAACAUAUGUAACCUGCUACUGACAUGCUGUCAGCCAUUUUGCUGUUUAUUCAUCAUCUUAAAAUAUAAUCAAAGAAGAAUAUUUACUCUAAGAAAUAAGAAGAAACUAUGUUUUAUUGCUACAAUUCUGGACUGUUUUUUGGAUUGCAAAAGGAAAGGUUAUUUUGAAAGCGUGUCUUGUCAGAUGUUGCCAGGGGGGGGAAAGGUGAAAUGUGUGCUUAAGUUGUGAAAGAGGAAGUCUUAUAUGUGUUAACUUUUAUCAUAGACAAGCGAUAUUUUAGCGAAGUAAGACGCAUGACUGUGGUCAAGUCAUCUGUUAGACAGAUCAUGGGAUGCUUAAACUUUUGAACCUUAAAUUUGUCAGUUAUGCUAGAAUUUAGCCAAUAGGAAAUAAGACCAUAUUUGGAGUUCUGAUUCAAGCUAAACGAAAGGCCGGUUCCGGGUCAUAUGUAUAAAAUAUGAGGAAUUGUAACAUGAUGUUAGAUUGCUUCUUGCCAAUCUCCAUGAGAUAUCUCU